GUAUGUUUGGAUGAAUUGCUUUCUACACCCCACUGCUAUAGGGACUAAUCUCUGCUGAUUGUAGAAGUAGACUAAGCUGACUAGCUCAUGUGUAGACCCCUGUGUUUUGGUGUYUACAGGACAGAGUCCUGAGCUGUAAAAUAGCAAAGGCGGCUCCUUCCAACCGUCACCUCCUCAGCCAGAUCCCAGGGCUGUUGCUUGUCAGGCAUGCAGUUGUUUCACUAACAUGAGCUGGAGUGAUGUGUCUACCUCUUGCUUACGCAGGGCCUUCAUCAGGGAGCUGACCUGGGAAAAAGCCACCGCUGUGCGAUGAGAGGGGGAGCCAAGUGCUCUGCUGCUUUACUGGGUUGCUGGGUGUGCACCUGAUGUGCGGGUCCUUUGGUAAAGCCGCAUCUCAGCUGUGAAAGAACUGGACCCGCUGGAGCGCAAGAAAUCUGCCAUUCCUUGUUUCUUCUCCACGAAAGGUUGGCUCUUUGUGUGCGUGUCCCUGUGAGCUCUACUGAAACGCAGCAGCUCUGUUUGCUCAGGAACAUGCGAGUUCCCACCUCCAUCUCAAACAAAGGCAG
rnacentral:lncRNA from 1 species